rnacentral:lncRNA from 1 species
UAAAUUGGUGAUGGUUUCCCUCCUUCCCUCCCUCCUUUUUCAGUGCUGGGGAUCGAACUCAGGGUCUCACCUACACUAGACAAGUGAUCUUACGCUCAGCUACGUCCACAGACUGGCAGCGGUUUCGAAGUAAAGUCUGAAGGAGCUCAGGAUGUCCCCAGACCUCUGCCCUGGGAAGGACUUGGCGAGCAACCGGCCUGGAGCCCCCGAGUGGAGGCCGGGCGCCCUGUCCUGUGGCGGCGGUCAGAGCAGCCACUCGGAGAAGCAGACGUGGCCAGGACCCUGCGAGGAGCGGCCUCUCCCCAGCUCCGUCAGCUCCACGGUUCAGCUGCUCCAGAGAAAAGAGGGCGAGCUGGCACGGUACUAGGACACAAACGUUUUCUGCAGUAAGGUUUGCUCAAAGUAGGAUUUCUCUGCUAUUAGCUUUGGGACAUUUGGGGACAAGUUCUAAGCGCCUUGAAGUCAUCUUGUUCCUCCACGGACCCUGCUGAAACCCAGCCUGUGAAGGAACCAUGGAGCCGUUUUCCUCAUUCGAAUGUCUUCAUCAUGCCGUACCCUGCUCUGACCCCAGGACGCUGUCAUUCCGCCCGCGGCCUGCGCUCCUUUCUGCUGCCCCAGCCCUGGCUCCCGGAUGCAGCCUGGGCCGAGGGGCUCCCCACUCCGUGCCUGCUCUCGCGAGCACCUCUGCCUCGCCCCACUUCCCCACCCCCCUAACUCAGCCUUACGUGUUCUCCUGCUUUUCUUGCCACUUUUCCUCUGGCACAUUCUCUACCAGCCU